rnacentral:tRNA from 1 species
GCGGGAAUAGCUCAGUUGGUAGAGCACGACCUUGCCAAGGUCGGGGUCGCGAGUUCUAGUCUCGUUCCCCGCUCCA